UGAGAAACAGAAUUGUUCACUUUAUAGAAUUUGGCAAUCGCUUAUCUUUGACUCAAUACCUUAUGACCUCGGAAAGGUUUGAACCCGUCAGGGACUAAAGAUGCCAAAGGUUGAAGAAGGGUCACGAGCAAAGAGGGCAUUUACUAUCCUUUGCGAUCUUCACCGUUGGAAGGAUUAUGAUAACUGCAAUUUCAUUUCUUCUUGGAUAUGAGCUCCACAAGAGGAUGAAACCCCUCUCUUCGCCAUAUGUAUAGG